rnacentral:rRNA from 1 species
CAAGCGGCUCCCGCUGAAGGAUGGGCCUGCGGCUGAUUAGCUAGUUGGUGGGGUAGCGGCCUACCAAGGCGACGAUCAGUAGCCGACCUGAGAGGGUGACCGGCCACACUGGGACUGAGACACGGCCCAGACUCCUACGGGAGGCAGCAGUGGGGAAUAUUGCGCAAUGGGCGAAAGCCUGACGCAGCGACGCCGCGUGGGUGAUGAAGGCCUUCGGGUCGUAAAACCCUGUCGGGUGGAACGAAUUCCCUCUUCGCUAAUAUCGGGGAGGAUUGACGGUACCACCGAAGGAAGCCCCGGCUAACUACGUGCCAGCAACCGCGGUAAUACGUAGGGGGCGAGCGUUGUUCGGAUUUACUGGGCGUAAAGAGCGCGUAGGCGGUGCGAUAAGUCGGAGGUGAAAUCCCUCGGCUCAACCGAGGACCCGCGUCCGAUACUGUCGAACUUGAGUGCAGGAGAGGAGAGCGGAAUUCCCAGUGUAGCGGUGAAAUGCGUAGAUACUGGGGGGAACACCGGUGGCGAAGGCGGCUCUCUGGACUGUCACUGACGCUGAGGCGCGAAAGCUAGGGGAGCAAACGGGAUUAGAUACCCCGGUAGUCCUAGCCGUAAACGAUGGGCACUAGGUGUGGGAGGUAUUGACCCCUUCCGUGCCGCAGCUAACGCAUUAAGUGCCCCGCCUGGGGAGUACGGCCGCAAGGUUGGAACUCAAAGGAAUUGACGGGGGCCCGCACAAGCGGUGGAGCAUGUGGUUUAAUUCGACGCAACGCGAAGAACCUUACCAGGGCUUGACAUCCCGCGAAUCCCGCCGAAAGGCGGGAGUGCC